rnacentral:rRNA from 1 species
GGCGGACGGGUGAGUAACGCGUAAAGAACUUGCCCUUUAGACUGGGAUAACAGAGGGAAACUUCUGAUAAUACUGGAUAAGUUAGUAUAUCGCAUGAUAUACAAAUGAAAGCUACGGCACUAAAGGAGAGCUUUGCGUCCUAUUAGCUAGUUGGUAAGGUAAGAGCUUACCAAGGCGAUGAUAGGUAGCCGGCCUGAGAGGGUGGACGGCCACAAGGGGACUGAGAUACGGCCCUUACUCCUACGGGAGGCAGCAGUA